CAGUAGCCACGGUAAUACGAAGGGGGCUAGCGUUGUUCGGAAUCACUGGGCGUAAAGCGCACGUAGGCGGAUACUUAAGUCAGGGGUGAAAUCCCGGGGCUCAACCUCGGAACUGCCUUUGAUACUGGGUAUCUUGAGUCCGGGAGAGGUUGGUGGAACUCCGAGUGUAGAGGUGAAAUUCGUAGAUAUUCGGAAGAACACCAGUGGCGAAGGCGGCCAACUGGCCCGGUACUGACGCUGAGGUGCGAAAGCGUGGGGGGCAAACAGGAUUAGAUACCCGUGUAGUCCCUGUCUCUUAUAC
rnacentral:rRNA from 1 species